AUGAACGCUGGCGGCGUGCCUAAUCCAUGCAAGUCGAGCGAACGGACGAGAAGCUUGCUUCUCUGAUGUUAGCGGCGGACGGGUGAGUAACACGUGGAUAACCUACCUAUAAGACUGGGAUAACUUCGGGAAACCGGAACUAAUACCGGAUGAUAUUUUGAACCGCAUGGUUCAAAAGUGAAAGACGGUCUUGCUGUCACUUAUAGAUGGAUCCGCGCUGCAUUAGCUAGUUGGUAAGGUAACGGCUUACCAAGGCAACGAUGCAUAGCCGACCUGAGAGGGUGAUCGGCCACACUGGAACUGAGACACGGUCCAGACUCCUACGGGAGGCAGCAGUAGGGAAUCUUCCGCAAUGGGCGAAAGCCUGACGGAGCAACGCCGCGUGAGUGAUGAAGGUCUUCGGAUCGUAAAACUCUGUUAUUAGGGAAGAACAUAUGUGUAAGUAACUGUGCACAUCUUGACGGUACCUAAUCAGAAAGCCACGGCUAACUACGUG
rnacentral:rRNA from 1 species